AGAGUUUGAUCCUGGCUCAGAUUGAACGCUGGCGGAAUGCUUUACACAUGCAAGUCGAACGGUAGAGGGGGCAACCCCUUGAGAGUGGCGAACGGGUGAGUAAUAUAUCGGAACGUGCCCAGUCGUGGGGGAUAACGUAGCGAAAGUUACGCUAAUACCGCAUACGAUCUAAGGAUGAAAGCGGGGGAUCGCAAGACCUCGCGCGAUUGGAGCGGCCGAUAUCAGAUUAGGUAGUUGGUGGGGUAAAGGCUCACCAAGCCAACGAUCUGUAGCUGGUCUGAGAGGACGACCAGCCACACUGGAACUGAGACACGGUCCAGACUCCUACGGGAGGCAGCAGUGGGGAAUUUUGGACAAUGGACGCAAGUCUGAUCCAGCCAUUCCGCGUGCAGGAUGAAGGCCCUCGGGUUGUAAACUGCUUUUGUACGGAACGAAAAGGUUUCCAUUAAUACUGGGGGCUCAUGACGGUACCGUAAGAAUAAGCACCGGCUAACUACGUGCCAGCAGCCGCGGUAAUACGUAGGGUGCAAGCGUUAAUCGGAAUUACUGGGCGUAAAGCGUGCGCAGGCGGUUAUGUAAGACAGAGGUGAAAUCCCCGGGCUCAACCUGGGAACUGCCUUUGUGACUGCAUAGCUAGAGUACGGUAGAGGGGGAUGGAAUUCCGCGUGUAGCAGUGAAAUGCGUAGAUAUGCG
rnacentral:rRNA from 1 species